AAGAAAACGUUGACAAGAGCUAGUAACAAUUCUUUUGUUUCAAAGAGAGCAGACGGUUGGUGCAAGUCUGUAACAAUAAAUUGUGAAUCCGUCUUGGAGUGAAUGGUGGAACGCGUAAAGCAAGUAAAUCAUUCCGGUGCGAGCCGUUAAUCUCAAAAUGAAGCUGGAGACUUUUUGUCUCAAUUAGGGUGGCAACGCGGAUAUAACUUCCGUCCCUUCU
rnacentral:ncRNA from 1 species